UAUGGCUUUUCAUUCCUAUGUGAUUCUAUGGUCACUCACAUAGGGAUGGGAGCCGUGGC
rnacentral:pre_miRNA from 1 species